ACUGCCCCUAGAGGUGUGGCAGGUGUCGCUGCUGUGUCACAUAUAGGUGGCAGAGAGAAGACAGAUUUACGCUCAGCGUUCUGGCCUUGACAGUCUGACACU